rnacentral:rRNA from 1 species
AACGAACGCUGGCGGCAGGCUUAACACAUGCAAGUCGAACGCGUGUAGCAAUACACGAGUGGCGCACGGGUGAGUAACGCGUGGAUAUCUGCCUUUUGGUUCGGAAUAACCCCGGGAAACUGGGGCUAAUACCGGAUGGUUCCUUCGGGAUAAAGAUUUAUCGCCAAAAGAUGAGUCCGCGUACGAUUAGCUAGUUGGUGAGGUAAUGGCUCACCAAGGCGACGAUCGUUAGCUGGUCUGAGAGGACGAUCAGCCACACUGGGACUGAGACACGGCCCAGACUCCUACGGGAGGCAGCAGUGGGGAAUAUUGGACAAUGGGGGCAACCCUGAUCCAGCCAUGCCGCGUGAGUGAUGAAGGCCUUCGGGUUGUAAAGCUCUUUUGGCGGGGACGAUGAUGACGGUACCCGCAGAAUAAGCCCCGGCUAACUUCGUGCCAGCAGCCGCGGUAAAAC